GGCAGGACGCCGAGAGUUUCAGGGUCUUAGCUGAGGAAGACGAAGGCCUUAUAAUGUGUCCCCGUGAGCACAGAGAGGGGGACUUUCAUAGAGACUCACUUUCAGGCUGGCCCCAAAGAGCGCCUUGGCAUUUUGGUCUGUUUGAACUCUACAAAAUAAGCUCGGCAAAUCUGAUACAGGUUGGCUUUGGCUCCUUAAUAAAGUGAAAGGGAAGUGAAGGAAGAUGGAUGUCAGCUGCGGCAGCAAACCUUCUGCGGAUAGAUUUUCAUCAAUGUGUGGAGAGAACCAGCGAAUAUGCAAUUUUUUAAGGGCAAGUUGUUGUUUAAGAGUCAUUCAACUCUAGUCGAAAAUCUUGAUAGUAUCUAGCUAGACAAAAAGAGAGUAUCUGUUACACAAGGAUGCUUGUUGAUCUGCAGAAGUAGGAAGUAAGCGUUGCCGGGACAAGGACGACGGGCUCAGAACAGAGACUGCCCCCGAAAGGUUAGGAUCCUACCAAAGCUCAAGCCCGUAGAAGGAGAGGCAGGUGCAAAUUCAAUUUCUGUCUUGUAAACAAAGAAUAUAUAUUACUAAGUGGCCAUGUUGGAUGCAUGUAACUAAGUUCUCCACCAGUCCUUUCAAGUUCAUGCCUAGGAAGUGGGUUUCCAUGUGAAAUUGUUCAACAACUUGUAUACAAGGAAGAUGGUGCAUAGCAUUUUUAAGUUUGUCUGCUGUGGGACAUCUAACGUGCAAGCUGCCCCCGCUGAAGACGCUAAACAAGCCACACCACAGGCCCAGCACGGUCCCACAGAGUUUCUGGUUGUCUUUCCCAGAACACGAGACA